UAUAGUGUAGCCCAGAGGUAGAGUGCUUACCUAGCAAGAGUGAGGCCUGAGUUUGACCCCCAGCACUGCAU
rnacentral:tRNA from 1 species